GGUGGAUUAGCUCAGUUGGUAGAGCAUCGGAUUCCAGUCCCGAAGGUCGCCGGUUCAAGUCUGGUAUCCAUCA
rfam:Fistulifera solaris DNA, contig: scaffold00080, strain: JPCC DA0580.